UUUAUGGAGAGUUUGAUCCUGGCUCAGGAUGAACGCUGGCGGCGUGCCUAAUACAUGCAAGUCGAGCGAACGGACGAGAAGCUUGCUUCUCUGAUGUUAGCGGCGGACGGGUGAGUAACACGUGGAUAACCUACCUAUAAGACUGGGAUAACUUCGGGAAACCGGAGCUAAUACCGGAUAAUAUUUUGAACCGCAUGGUUCAAAAGUGAAAGACGGUCUUGCUGUCACUUAUAGAUGGAUCCGCGCUGCAUUAGCUAGUUGGUAAGGUAACGGCUUACCAAGGCAACGAUGCAUAGCCGACCUGAGAGGGUGAUCGGCCACACUGGAACUGAGACACGGUCCAGACUCCUACGGGAGGCAGCAGUAGGGAAUCUUCCGCAAUGGGCGAAAGCCUGACGGAGCAACGCCGCGUGAGUGAUGAAGGUCUUCGGAUCGUAAAACUCUGUUAUUAGGGAAGAACAUAUGUGUAAGUAACUGUGCACAUCUUGACGGUACCUAAUCAGAAAGCCACGGCUAACUACGUGCCAGCAGCCGCGGUAAUACGUAGGUGGCAAGCGUUAUCCGGAAUUAUUGGGCGUAAAGCGCGCGUAGGCGGUUUUUUAAGUCUGAUGUGAAAGCCCACGGCUCAACCGUGGAGGGUCAUUGGAAACUGGAAAACUUGAGUGCAGAAGAGGAAAGUGGAAUUC
rnacentral:rRNA from 1 species